AGGUGAACCUGCGGAGGAUCAUU
rnacentral:rRNA from 1 species